rnacentral:rRNA from 1 species
UACAGAGGUCCCAAGCGUUGUUCGGAUUCACUGGGCGUAAAGGGUGCGUAGGUGGUCAGAUAAGUUUGAUGUGAAAUCUCCGGGCUUAACCCGGAAAAUGCAUUGAAUACUAUUUGGCUGGAGGGUUGGAGGGGGGACUGGAAUACUUGGUGUAGCAGUGAAAUGCGUAGAUAUCAAGUGGAACACCAGUGGCGAAGGCGGCAUCCUGGACCAACACUGACGCUGAGGAGCGAAAGCCAGGGGAGCAAACGGG